UGGAUGUAGAGGUUAUGGAGAGAGGGUUGACGUGGGGUUGGCCAAUGGUGGUAAGAGCACUAUGGAGGCAAGGUUGUCACUAUUCAUGGCUGGUUACGUGGAGGUGGGGAAGGUAGCAUGGUGGCAUGGUCACCAUUGGCCACAUGAAAUUCUAUGGCUGGAGGUAGCUUGAGGUGAAUGGAGCAAUGUGGCAAUCAGGGUUGAAUUACGGGUGAUGUCGUAGAGGGCUGGUAAGAAACUUUGUUUAAUGCUUAAUUAUCAGGGUGGACUGAGUGGAUUGAAUGGGAACAAAGAAGAAAGGGAAGAGAAUGAAUGAAGGUUAGAAGGCAAGAAGAGAAAGAUAAAUAGGGAGGGGAGACCACUUAUUUCCAUGUAAGGGCAUGUUCGGUUUGCCAGGGAUUAGCUGGGAGUGUUGCCCGACCCACGAGGGUUACCCCGGCUUGGAAGAGAUCCCGAGCCAUGAGAUACCUUGCGUUUGGUUAGUCCACAUGGGGUUCUUAACCUGGCCCAACCCCCCAAAAUCAACUUAUCCCAGCCCGGGAAUCCACCCAUGAGUGAGGAAGCGCGAAACGGAUCCUUGCCUAGGUGUGCAGCAUGGGCGAUGGUGGCGUGGCACUCUUGGCUCUCCCUUCCAGUGGUGCGGUGCUCUCCCCUCCGGCGGCUGCCCCCUCCAUAGCCACCUUCUCCACAGUGAGUUUCUCAUCACUCUCUUCC
rnacentral:lncRNA from 1 species